UACAGAGGCCUCAAGCGUUGUUCGGAUUCAUUGGGCGUAAAGGGUGCGUAGGCGGCGCGGUAAGUCGGGGUGUGAAAUCUCGGAGCUUAACUCCGAAACUGCAUUCGAUACUGCCGUGCUUGAGGACUGGAGAGGAGACUGGAAUUUACGGUGUAGCGGUGAAAUGCGUAGAUAUCGAGAGGAACACCAGUGGCGAAGGCGAGUCUCUGGACACUUCCUGACGCUGAGGCACGAAAGCCAGGGGAGCAAACGGG
rnacentral:rRNA from 1 species